rnacentral:lncRNA from 1 species
GGGGGCCCACAAACCUGGGUCUGUAUGCCCACUCUUCAUUAGCAGCUCCAGGACCAAGUGCGGUCAGUUUUCUGGAACUCGUUUCCAUAUCUCCACUGUGAUGUAAGGAUGUGCAUGGAUCCUAAAUGUGAGAAGCUGGCAAUCACCAGGUCCCUGGCAAGUGCUCAGAGUCUGAGCUACCAUCAAAAUCAAGGGCACAGGGGGAAGCUAACUGCUUCUCUGAAUACUCUAAGGGAGGCAGAUCUAGGCCAGGUGACCAGGGUUUACAAGUCCCAGGACAGCAGGUUGGGCUUGGUGCACGGAAGAACUGAUGAGCAGCUUCACUCAUGCAGCAGCUUCCAAGCAAUUCCUGAGGCCCUCCCACCGGCUAACCAGAAAGGAACCCACCAUUGGUCUCCUUAGUAACGACUUCCAAGGCCCCUUGCACAUCUGAAAAGCGCACAGUGUGAUUUCCAGACCCAAGUUAGACAGCGAUUUCUUCAAAGUGCAACGCCCUCAAUUAAUGAACCCUCUGGGAAUGAAGUACCUUCUAACAAAAACAUUGUUCAAAAUAAAGCUGGAAAAAAACCUCA